GUCGAGAAUCAUUCACAAUGGGGGAAACCCUGAUGGUGCGACGCCGCGUGAGGGAAGACGGCCCUAUGGGUUGUAAACCUCUUUUGUCGGAGAACAAAACCCGGGACGUGUCCCGGACUGCGUGUAUCCGAAGAAAAAGCAUCGGCUAACUCCGUGCCAGCAGCCGCGGUAAUACGGAGGAUGCGAGCGUUAUCCGGAUUUAUUGGGUUUAAAGGGUGCGUAGGCGGUCCGUUAAGUCAGCGGUAAAAUUGCGGGGCUCAACCCCGUCGAGCCGUUGAAACUGGCAGACUUGAGUUGGCGAGAAGUACGCGGAAUGCGCGGUGUAGCGGUGAAAUGCAUAGAUAUCGCGCAGAACUCCGAUUGCGAAGGCAGCGUACCGGCGCCACACUGACGCUGAGGCACGAAAGCGUGGGGAUCGAACAGGA
rnacentral:rRNA from 1 species